rnacentral:tRNA from 1 species
GGUCAUCUACCUGCGGUUUCGGAUGCGUCUCCUAAGCGGAGGGUCGCAGGUUCGAAUCCUGCCGGGGGCACCC